CAAAAAGUUAAAAUAAUAAAUCAAAUAAUUUUAACCCCCCACGCAACAAAACAAAACAAAAGUAGACUGGCUGUUUAGAAUGGAUUUGACUACGUUGUAAAUGCUGGGUCUUACAACCCUUUUCAGAGUUGCUGUGUGUACAACCCAGAGUUGCAGAAAGGGAGCUCUGAAAGGGGAGGAGGGAAAAGAGCAUGCAAUUAAAUUGUGGCGUUCAGGAGCCAAUGUGGUGACCGGAAAGAGGCCUCUCCCAGAACGUGGCUCCAUCCACAGUCCCUAAGCGACUGCAAGGACAGGAGGGGAACCUCAGGGAACUUGACUCAACAUAAUCCAGAAAGUGGAAUCUCCAGGGACAGUGCUGGGAGACCCACUGCUACCACAGAUGACCAGAGGAGUGGUACAAACCCACUUCCACACCAUGGCCGGCCAUUCUGAAACAGAGGAGUGGGCGCUGGAUACCUCUACCUCUCAGCUUGCCUGGGCACUUCCAGGGCUGCACCGGCAGCUCUAGUGAGUCCCAAGGAUGCGGGGGCCGAAGGGAGCAUAAUUCCUGCACUUAGAAAAGUCAGCAGGGGUCCCAGCACUCUUGCUCAGAGUGGCAGAAAGCAGGGCGGAGGGGCUGAAACAGUGACUUCUAGCCCCAGAGGAUGGGCUGCACACCUCAACAACAAAGAAGGGGACUGAGUCACUUCAUCCACACUGGGAACUAGAAUCUGGAAGGCUCCUUUCAGCAGAAAUCAUAAGGAAAAAUUCUCAGGUCAUCUCUCAUUUUUGCCCUCUCUGCUUCCCUUCCUCCCAGUG